ACCUCAUCGACCAGAAGGGAUUCCUUCCAGUCAAUGAGGUGUAACAACCUCAUCGACCAGAAGGGAUUCCUUCCGGUCAAUGAGGU
rnacentral:miRNA from 1 species